AGAGUAUCGGAUACGACAAUGAAGGCAGCAUAGCUGGCGGUCAAGGCCACAACAUGUACAGCCCACAGAAUGGUGUUUGGCAGAAUCAAGAGGCGUCCACAGGUCAGAUAGUGACUUCUCCCAGCAAGCGUUCCGAUUCUGCUGAUUAGAGAAUAAAGAAUUGCUGUUCAGAGACUACAACAAGUAAUUAUGGCAGACUGCCAUAGCGCCACCCAGUGUCCCAAUUGACUUUGUUUGAGUUUUUAUUUUGCCGCUUCCGCAUCAGCGUUUUAGUUUGAUAUGCAGAAUUUGGAUUUUGUAAUUUUAGUUUUUUAUGAUCUAAUUUACACUGAUCAAAAUCAACAUGGCUGGUAUGGUGUUACAUUUUUGUAUGGGACAACUUUAGCAAGGCGUUUUUUUACUUUAGGGCUCGAAUAUUGUUAUCCCUUCGCCAACUUUUUAACAGCUAGUAUUUUUAUUUAUCUGCAAUUUUAGGUGAUCGGGAAUCGUGCCUCUAGGUAUUAUAAGUUCAUAUCUCAGUGCAUUUUUUAUUAAACUAAACUAAAGUGGGACCUUCUGAAGUAUGCACACCAAGAUGGCGCACAACCUGAACUCAUGUAUCAGGUUAGGGUUCAGGUUCUUGGUGCGCAUACUUCAGGAGCACCCUAAAGUGUCCAGUUCUUACAUUUUCUUGAAUGGUGUUAGUAUUUGAGCGGUGGUUAUACAAGACGGUAUACCUGUUCAUAAAAGUCCUUGAUGAGUCUAAAUCAGGGGUGUGCAACAUGCGGCCCACUAAUACAAAUUGUGCGGCCCGCGGAGAAGUGUCAAUUUUGAAUGGGGUCUCCAAUCCCUUUGCGUCGCUAAACCUAUACCCGAGUCCAACUUAAUAUCUCUGCAUAUGACGUUACAAUAUACUUACAGCUAGCUUGUCGAAGUGAACAACGCAUGUCAUAAGAUCAAUAGCCAGAAUGUUCGAGCUUGCAACUCUGGAAAGCCUAUUUUAAAUAAAGAUGCGACUCGCAGUUUCUCCCAGUUGUUUGAAUCUGGCCUCCUGUAUCAAAAAGUUGCACAGCACACCCCUGGUCUAAAUGAUUCUCCAAGAAAAUUAGAUUAGUUUGAAUUAAUUAGUUACAAGGGCUUAAAUACGAGCUUCCCAAAUUUUGAUCUAUCUCUCUUGUACUCUAUUUCAGAUCCAGUCAAGAGCUCAUUGAAAUUCUAUUAUGUCCAAUUGUUUUAAAUUAAAUUUUUUGUUUUUUAUCAACGUUUACAACCAUGAUUCGAGCAAAUUUGUAUAAAAAAUAACUUGCUGAUGAUUAUGAAAUCAAAACUGGACCAUUCCGGUUUAUUCCAGUACAAACUUGAUUCUGCCUUCUCAGUAUCCACUUCCAACAGUGCCAUAUAGCCCGGUUCGAGAUUGUCAUUAGCCAACCAAUGGCCAAGGAUAAAGCACAAACUUUAUCAAUGGCAAAUACAUGGCAGUGUAUAAAUAUCGCUAUUUGUGCAUUUAUUUAAUACUUCCUGAAAUAUUUUCACAGCUUUUUUCUGAGUUGAUUUGAAAGAUUUUUGCAUAUGAUACGCCUUUAAAUUUUUGUACAUAUAUGAUUUUUGGUGCUAAAUUUGGGGUUAAGUUUCUGCAUUUUCGUCAACAUCAAGUUAUAUUUAAUGUUCUAUCACAUUUUCCUGACAGAAAAUUUGAUGAGGUAAGAAAUUGUAGAGCCAGCAUUGAUUGCAUGCUUUUUCAUAUACCAAGCCCAUCAGCUUAAUGAAGUUCAUUUUUUUUUCAUCUGGUACAGCCUGAGCCACUCAGUGCAAUUCAUAUCAUAAUCAUGAAUGCUACAGAAGUCUAAUUUAUCCAACAUAUUUUGUUUAAAUGUAUUUCAAAAAAACAAAUUUAGAAGGCGAUUAAGAUAUUUGAGCUUUUUAGUUUGAUUCAAAUGAAAUUCUUCAGACAUCUUUGUAAAGUUACAUUCAGAAUGAAAUUCGAAGACUAUGAUUCCUAGUGUUAUAAUAUGAAAAAUUGUUCCGCUUCCAUUUAAUAACUAGACUUUAAACUGAAGAUGGUACACUAUGAAUUUCAUUUUAAUGCAGUACUUUCUUAUUUUUAUGCUUUUAGCAACGUUUUUACUCUUUGAUGAAUUGUAUUAUCAUAGUCUGGCCUUGAGUUUUUAAUUUAGUGUUUUAUGGUGUUUGCUCUCAGCGAGAUUUUAGACCAGCGUUAUGUUAUUCAACCACUUUGCUCAUAUCUUAUUCAGACACUUGUAUCUCCUCCAAUCUAAAACAUUGGAAAAUGUCAUGGGAUGAUUUUCACCAAGCAUAUCAUAACUUCAAUAUUCACUGCUUUAGGGUUUCUGCUGCACGAGCUUCUGCAUUUAUUUAGGGCUUUAAGUAGCAAUAUCCUGCAAUUUGGCAGCCCCAUAUUUUUUACUGUUAUACAUUCUAAGCAAAAAAGUUCAUAGGAUUAUUUGGGACUGCCCUUUUACUACAGACAGAAUCAAAAAAACUUACCAAAAAACAUGUACUGAAUGAAUCAUCUCAUAACUAAGUAAGUUGAACUGCCAUCUAAUAUCUAUCAUGUUUUUAUUGAUGGCUCAAUGAGCCUUGUGUGUGUUCUAAGCUUUGAGGAACCUUAAAACGGCCUCCGGAAGUGUGUGUACCAAUAUGGAGGUAACUAAUUUUGUUGGCCUACUUUAUAUCAAGAUAUGUAAAGGGACUGAAACCUAUUGGGCAGUAUAUUCAUCUGGCUAACACAGACAGACGCCGAAUUGGAAUAAAAUUAUGCCCUAAUCUGGUACACGCACUACGGCAGUAUUUUAAAAGCUAUGUAAGGUGGAGUCUGUUCAAACGUCAAUCUGGACCUAUAUUUUUACACCAUAUCGACCUGACCGCAAUCCCGAGUUUGGCCAUGCAAUUUUGUUUUAAAUAAACAUCAAGACAGCUCGGAUUUGGUGAUCCACUUGGUUGUUUACUGAUUAUUACUCUGAUGUGACAAAUGGGAUACAGUAGUUUUUUUAGUGUUUUUAAUUUUUUGCCAAUCAUGAGUUGAUUAUAGCCCUGUAUUUUGUAAUUUAGCUGCUUUGUGUAAUCACAAUGAGCUGUAUAUUUUUAAUUCAUUUUUUAUCUUUUUUGUCAAAGGGUAAUAGUUUUGUAAUAAUGGGUACAAACGAUUUGUUACUGAACACUUUUUUAAACUGUUUGUAUUGCUUUGUCUGAAAUGUAGCAAUUUUUAACUCUUGGGACGACUUUUGUGUUAUCGUACGUAUUGUAAGGUCGGUAAUUUUGUGUAUGCCCUCUUUUUAGAGGACAAGUCCUUUGCCCACAUUUUGUGAAAAUAAAUAUCCUCGUUUUAUAACCAGCCUUCGCUGUUUUUUCUGAUUGUGUAUUGAAAUAUUGGACUUCGAUUUGGCGAACAUCUAUUUCAGUUUUUUCUAAAUUUCAGGGUUUGGACAUUGUUAAUAUGUGGGACAUUAUGAUGUCGUUAAUGUAUUUUUAUUGUUCUCUGUGUUAUGUAAUAAUGUCAAAUAUAAUCGAUUCAAUAA